rnacentral:rRNA from 1 species
UUACGGGAGGCAGCAGUAGGGAAUUUUGCGCAAUGGGCGAAAGCCUGACGCAGCAACACCGCGUGAGCGAUGAAGCCCUUUGGGGUGUAAAGCUCUGUCAGUGGGGACGAAUUUUGACGGUACCCACAGAGGAAGCAUCGGCUAACUACGUGCCAGCAGCCGCGGUAAGACGUAGGAUGCGAGCGUUGUCCGGAUUCAUUGGGCGUAAAGAGUUCGUAGGUGGUAUAUCAAGUCUGGUGUUAAAUCCCGAUGCUCAACAUCGGUCCGGCACUGGAUACUGAUAAACUAGAGUGCAGUAGAGGCAAGGGGAAUUCCCAGUGUAGCGGUGAAAUGCGUAGAUAUUGGGAGGAACACCAGUGGCGUAAGCGCCUUGCUGGGCUGUUACUGACGCUGAGGAACGAAAGCCAGGGGAGCAAAUGGGAUUAGAUACCCCUGUAGUCU